UUGAAAAACUCGAUUGCUCCUUUCGUUAAAAAUGAUGACUAAAUUCGUUGUCAAAAUGUAUGGGAUUUGACAUUAGUCUUCG